rnacentral:rRNA from 1 species
AAUGAACGCUGGCGGCGUGCGUAACACAUGCAAGUCGAACGAGAAAGUUCGCUUCGGCGGAUGAGUAAAGUGGCGAACGGGUGAGUAACGCGUGGGUAACCUGCCCCUGAAUCUGGAAUAACGUCGCGAAAGCGACGCUAAUACCGGAUAUUGUCCCAGGGACUGUGGUCCUUGUGAUGAAAGAUGACCUCUUCACGAAAGUUGUCGUUCAGGGAGGGGCUCGCGUACCAUUAGCUAGUUGGUAGGGUAAUGGCCUACCAAGGCGAAGAUGGUUAGCUGGUCUGAGAGGAUGACCAGCCACACUGGCACUGAAACACGGGCCAGACUCCUACGGGAGGCAGCAGUGAGGAAUUUUGCGCAAUAGGGGGAACCCUGACGCAGCAACGCCGCGUGAGUGAAGAAGGCCUUCGGGUCGUAAAGCUCUGUCAAGUGGGAAAAAAGCUUACUGGUAAAUAGCCAGGAAGACUGAUGGUACCAU